rnacentral:rRNA from 1 species
GGCAUGCAGGGGCCCAAACCUGAUGCAGCAACGCCGCGUGAGCGAUGAAGGCCUUCGGGUUGUAAAGCUCUGUCUUCGCUGACGAUAAUGACGGUAAGCGAGGAGGAAGCCACGGCUAACUACGUGCCAGCAGCCGCGGUAAUACGUAGGUGGCAAGCGUUGUCCGGA